rnacentral:rRNA from 1 species
CCAGUACGGGAAUCUUCCACAAUGGGCGCAAGCCUGAUGGAGCAACACCGCGUGAGUGAAGAAGGGUUUCGGCUCGUAAAGCUCUGUUGUUAAAGAAGAACAUGUAUGAGAGUAACUGUUCAUACGUUGACGGUAUUUAACCAGAAAGUCACGGCUAACUACGUGCCAG